UGUUCAUCGGCAAUUCGACAGUGUUCGCGCCGGAAAGAGCGUCGUCGCGUGUUGCCUGCGAGACGAAGGAGCCGUUUGCUGACCACAUUGAAGGUCCCAAGCACCACAUUCCAGAGGUCUGCUGUGAGCAGACGUGGCAAAUUGCAGUAACAUCCAGAUAGUCCAAUAAACUGUUCGUAGUUUCAGACAAA
rnacentral:lncRNA from 1 species